rnacentral:misc_RNA from 1 species
GAUGAAGAACGUAGCGAAAUGCGAUAAGUAAUGUGAAUUGCAGAAUUCAGUGAAUCAUCGAAUCUUUGAACGCACCUUGCGCCCUUUGGCCAUUACGAAGGGCAUGCCUGUUUGAGUAUCAUGAACACCUCAACUCUCAUGGCUUGCCAUGAUGAGCUUGGACUUUGGGGGUCUUGCUGGCCUGUGGUCGGCUCCUCUCAAAUGAAUCAGCUUGCCAGUGUUUGGUGGCAUCACAAGUGUGAUAACUAUCUGCGCUCGUGGUUUCCAUCAGAUAACCUCCAGUGAUGGAGGUUCGCUGGAGCUCAUAAAUGUCUCUCCUAAGCGAGGACAGCCCUUUUAAUGUUUGAUCUCAAAUCAGGUAGGACUACCCGCUGAACUUAAGCAUAUCAAUAAGCGGAGGA